AUUGAACGCUGGCGGCAUGCCUUACACAUGCAAGUCGAACGGCAGCGCGGGGCAACCUGGCGGCGAGUGGCGAACGGGUGAGUAAUAUAUCGGAACAUACCCUAGAGUGGGGGAUAACGUAGCGAAAGUUACGCUAAUACCGCAUACGCACUAAGGUGGAAAGUGGGGGAUCUUCGGACCUCAUGCUCAUGGAGUGGCCGAUAUCUGAUUAGCUAGUUGGUGAGGUAAAGGCUCACCAAGGCGACGACCAGUAGCUGGUUUGAGAGAACGACCAGCCACACUGGAACUGAGACACGGUCCAGACUCCUACGGGAGGCAGCAGUGGGGAAUUUUGGACAAUGGGGGGCAACCCUGAUCCAGCAAUGCCGCGUGAGUGAAGAAGGCCUCGGUUGUAAG
rnacentral:rRNA from 1 species